AGAUUCCGUAGUAUCUCGACGCUUUUAAGCGUCGAGAAUUUUGGCUACGCUUUUAAGCGUCCUCAUUAACUGCUUAAUAACAUUAUAGAAAUCCUAGUAUCACUCCCGCGCCUAAAAUUUCAGAGAAAAUAAUUAAAUGAUAAUUUGUUUUCAAAAAAACCCCACUCUCACUCCCAAAGCAACUGCACGCGAAAAUUGUGAGUGAAGCGCCUAAAAUUUCAGAAAAAAUAAUUAAAUGAUAAUUUGUUUUAAAAAAAACCCCACUCUCACUCCCAAAGCAACUGCACCCGAAAAUUGUGAGUGAAACACUACUGUAGAAGCUCUAGGGUAGUUAACGAAAAACGAAUCAUCUUCUUCCCACCUUCGCUCAUCAAUUGCUCACCAUAACCACCUUCUUCAUCAGAUUGCAGGUGGCCAAAGGGGAUUAAUCUUCUUCCUUUUGUAGCACCUUUGGGUGGACUAGAGUCUGUGAGAGCACGCCUUCUGUCUUGAUUGCGCUAGGAGUGAUUCAAUCUGUUGUCUGUAAGUGCUCAUAUCAUUUGAAAUGAUAGUUGGAUUGGUUUAUUAAUUUGUCUGCUAAAGAUUAUUGUUUGUAGUGAUUUUUCUUUUUACUAAAAGCUAGUUAUUGUUGUGGAAAUUAUUGUUGUUUUUAUGAUUUAAUGCUUGAUCUACUGAUUUUCUGAUGUGGGGUUGUCUGGGUUUUGCUCUAAAUUGCUGCAUUUUGUUCUCAUUGCUUUAAGGCCUGAAUUUUUUCUGCUACAUUAUGAUUUAAUGCUUGAUCUACCCAUCUUAUGUUUCUAUAUCUUACUUGAAGUCGCAGGGCCUGAUCAGAGUAUCAGAUUUUUUUUCUCUCAUUUAUUUGUUGUUCUUAUUAUGUUUUUCCUCGAAGUUUUGAAAUUCUCGCUAGCUGGAAGAAGGGAGACUUAUGGUAAAGAAUAUGGAGUGACUUAGUGAA